rnacentral:rRNA from 1 species
GAUGAACGCUAGCUACAGGCUUAACACAUGCAAGUCGAGGGGUAACGAGAGGAAAGCUUGCUUUCCUUGUCGACGACCGGCGCACGGGUGAGUAACGCGUAUCCAACCUGCCCCCAACUAGGGAAUAACCUUGCGAAGGUAAGACUAAUACCCUAUAAAUUCUUCAGAUGACAUCUGAAGAGGAAUAAGAUUUAUCGGUUGUGGAUGGGGAUGCGUCUGAUUAGCUUGUUGGCGGGGUAACGGCGCACCAAGGCAACGAUCAGUAGGGGUUCUGAGAGGAAGGUCCCCCACUUGGAACUGAGACACGGUCCAAACUCCUACAGGAGGCAGCAGUGAGGAAUAUUGGUCAAUGGGCGGAAGCCUGAACCAGCCAAGUAGCGUGCAGGAUGACGGCCCUAUGGGUUGUAAACUGCUUUUAUACAGGAAUAAAGUUAGCCACGUGUGGUUAUUUGUAGGUACUGUAUGAAUAAGGACCGGCUAAUUCCGUGCCAGCAGCCGCCGCAA